GUGUUGUAUGAAAGGAGAAAAGCUUAGCAAUCCUCUUGCCAGGGAUGAAAGAGGUCCUUGGGCCUGCACAACACAUGGUUAAGACAUAGCCACCUACUUUGUGGCAUCUAACCAUGUUUUUUU
ensembl:snRNA